rnacentral:lncRNA from 12 species
GCCUGUCCUUUUUCUUACUUGCACUUGCUGAGACCUUCGGGGUUUCAUGGUUCCUAAUUAUUGCUCUGAAACUCUGGAUACAUUCAUGGAAGAAAAUUAGUGUGAACAGAGCACAGGCAUCCUGGCUAGGCACAAGGUCCUUCAUUCCUCCCCUGGGAGGAAAUAAUCAAGAAAAGAAUCUACAGGUUUAUCAUUCCUCAACUACCUCGUUAUAGCUCUUUGGCUUCCUUCUGCUGUUUCCUUUUCUAGAACCCAAACUGAAAAAGCCUGGUAUUGCAAACCCUCUUUGCUGGGCUUCUCACACAGUCCUGACUUGAGAAUAGUGGCUUAAGUUUUCCAGCUGUCACCUUUCCUAUCCUGCUAUGAGGGAUACUAAUAAUGCCCAAUCUCUGUAAGCUCUAAAACUUCUCAGGUGCAGCCAGGGUUGAGAACCACCUUGGAAGCCUGCAGCCAGAGUGGUGUUUCUUGAACUCUCUGUGCAUGUCAAUCACCAGGAGAUCUUGUUAAAAUGUAGAUUCUGUUCCACUAGGUCUGGGCUGGGCCUGAGAUUUUGCACUUCUAACAUGCUCCCAGCUGAUAUCUUUGCUACUACUGGUCCUUGGACUACACUUUGGGUAGCCAGGAGCCAGGUGACCUGGUCAGACUGCUCUUGACCAUCAGACCCUCCAGGUUGUCAUUGGGCAGAAUAAGGAGAUCUGAACACAUAAAGGAGGUUAAAGAAGAAAGAUGUGAGAAUUCUGGCCUCUUCUGGAGUGGAUCCUUUAGCAUAUAUAUUAAAAUAUGCACAUAUAUUAUUAGGCCUUAUAUAGAUUCUUAUUCAACCAGCUUUUUUUUUUUCUACUGCACAACGCUAUUACAAUACCAUUGACUAUAUUCCCUAGGCUGUACUUUUUUCGCCCCCUGUGACUGAUUCACUCCAUGACUGGAAGCCUGGACCCCCCCACUCCCCUUCAUCCAUUUUGCCUGACUCCCAAUCCCCCUCCCCUCUGGAAACCACCAGUUUGUUCUCUGCAUUUAUGGGUCUGUUUCUCAUC